CUGUCAUUGAACCGUCACUAAGGCUGGAAAAGACCUCUAAGGUCACCUAGGCCAACUGUCAACCCAUCACCACCACGUCCACAAGUUCUUCUACGCUUCUAGGGAUGGUGAUAUUAGAGAGGGAUGAGUUUUCCCCUGAGCCUACUCUUCUCCAGACUGAGCAAUCCCGGUUCCCUCAGCCGUUCCUCAUAAGAUUUAUGCUCCAGACCCCACACCAGCUUUGCUGCCCUUCUCUGGACACUCUCCAGUGACUUGAUGUCUUCCUUGAAGUGAAGGACCCCAAACUGAACACAGUACUUGAGGUGCAGCUUCAUCAGUUCCAAGCAAUUACCCACUCAAAUGGCAGCAACAGAAAAUACCAGAGAUCUUAAAAAACACACUAAGCUAAGAGAUUAUUUGGUGAGAGGAGGAGUGGAUGGGCCGUACCCUGAGGAAAUCAGCCCAGAGGUCAGCUGCUGGCACAACUGGAGGGAGAGGAGCUCUGUAGCCUGGCGUGUCCCAGGAUCACCCUGUGGAUAUGCAAGAGGCUGAAGCAGACACCUGACAAGGGCACAAAGUCCUUCCUAGGGCCUGAAAAGAACCCAGCUGAUGGACUGAAGGAUAAGAUUUGUAUAUGUAUGUUGUCUUAAACUGUGAAUCUGCAAGCUUUGUGCAUGGAAACAGCAACUGGACAGGGAGUGGCGCUAGCUCAGAACCUGGAGCAGUACUGCUGUGAGCUGUGGUACUGAGACAUAGCCCAGCUGAGGUGCAAGCCAUAUUCGCUCCCCUGAUUGUCUCAGUUUGUGCUAGCAGCCAGCAGCUCUGUGUGGUGGACAUGCAGCCUGGGGCUCCUUAUCUCCACAGCACAGCACUACAACCACUGCCAUGUGGACCAAAUCUCUUAAACACAGGCACACAGAUACAAAAGUGAGCCAUUUCAGAGCCAGUUCUGAAAUGCUACUUUAUCAAUCGCAACAGAUUUCAAGAAUUUGAGUCUACCUCCUUUAGCAUGGGGAAAAGCAUCUCAUUGUUUAAACACUCAGGUCUCAGUCUACAGAUAAAGUUAGCAGAUGUGCCACUCAGGAUCUCAGUCUCUCCUCGUCCUCACCAAAGCACACAAGCAGAUGUUCAGCCUUCAGCUUCAUACCGUGCAGGCAACGAGUACUGCAGCAAAUGACACCAUAUAUGUGCUGCUAAGACCACAGUAAGUACCAGAGUUAUGUGUAUACACAGGCACUUUUCACAAUCAAGUAGUCAUUAAUUGGGAAUCCUGUAGUUAGAAAACCUAGACAGUGGAAUUUACACGCAGGACUAAAUGACCUAAUUCAAAACCUUUUGCCAACUUUGCGCUUGAGGUGAAAGUGAAGAAACAACGUAGCAGGUAAAAAUGUGGUUAAUAUGAGCCUAGCUUUCAUCUUAAUGUAGCACUUGUAAGUUACUUCCAACUGGGUAGCUUUCAAAAACAUUUUCCAUAUUUACUAAUUCUGGGUGUCCCUGUUACCUAGCUAAUAUAUAUAUGCCCACAGCUUUCACUUCUUUCUUCAGACCUUCCCAGCUUCUUUGUUUUCACAAUGCAGUGUUGAAAUGGAUACAACAAAUUAAAAUGUGUUAUGAGAGAAGUGUUUUUGUCUGAACUGAAUUUGCCAGCUUGGGACUUCACUAAUGGCUUUCUGAUCUUAAAUUAUGGCACAGAGGAACUCAUUACUUCAUCUGAAUUCUUAACAUUAAUUGUGAUUUUUUGAAAUAUUAUUAGUUAGCCAUUUAUCUCUGAAGGUUUUUCCACAGCAUAUUCAAGGGAACAAAUACUCUUUGUUUUCUGAAGUAGGAGUUUUCAGUUUUAAAAUACCUCCUUGGAUGUUUUUCAUACUCUUGUACAGGAUCUUGUGAAAUUUCAUGAGCAAUGGUUGAUAUAUUUUCAUUAAAAUUCUAUAUUACUCUCAUUAUUUAUUUUCUCAAAAUCAUUGAUUCUGGAUACACAAAUUAUUUGAAAUAUAAUCAUAUGUCUUGAUCUGAUUUAGUCAAUUAAAAACUUAAAUAGUGAGAAUAAGAAUUAUUUUUGUUCUAGCACUGUAUUUUUCAUUUGGUUGCUCUUUGUUUCUUUCUCCCAUAUUUUGAUCCAUGGAGAUAUUUUGUUCCUUAGACCACAACUGUUUCUUAUCGUUGGUAGUUCCCAUGUUGUUUGUCUUCACUGAAUGUUGCUGACACACCUUGCUAGGAAAAAGCGUUGAGAGGACAGAUUUGUACAUAGUACUUGCUCACUACUUUAGGUUUGUAGUAGUAAUCAGCGAGGUAUUCAAGAGUAAAUACAAGUAAUCACAAUUUUAGCUACGUCUAGAUUGAACAACACAGCAUUUAUGCACUUUUUGUUAAUUUCAUCCAGGUGCAUCUAUCUGUGAUGUCCUUUACUGCUAUUGGAAUAGGACAGGAGAUGCUUUCAAAAGGUGUGAUGUAGCAUAGAUUGCAUGUCUUGUGGAAAGUACUAGAUGUCUUUCUGCUUGGUACAUCUGAAGCAGUUAAAGUUUUGUACUGUAAUAGCAAGAUGAAUGAUUCACAUUAAGCCUCUGACUAUAUAGUUUAUCAGCCAGUGAAGGAAAACAAGUGUCACUAACACAGGCUGAAGUACAAGUUUAUGUUCCUAAUUUGAAAAUAUAAAAGCGUAAAAAUUCUGGUGUGAACAUUUAGAGCUCAUUGUAUGAAAACUGUGGGUUCUAUGUAUUCAAAACACAUCAGUUUGAGCUGCCUUUGUGUAUUGUCCUAUUUCAUCCUCUUCAGAAACAAAAGUAUAAUUCAAACUGCAGUGUUGAAGGAUGCACACUUGUGAAAGGGAGAUGAAUACCUCCUUUAUGAGAUUGCUUUAUCCAAGCUCAGUGUGCUUUUUGCUAUAAUAGACAUAUUGGAUUCUGUACAAUAAAUAUUUUCCUUAUGGGAUAUUUUGGACUCUACCACUGUUUAACAAUCCUGACAUUUUGUUGCACUGUUAGGCUUGGAUAGAUUGAUAUAUAGACAGUCACACAGUCUGUGUAAUCGGCUUUUCUGCAAUCCAUGCUGGCAGGCUUUAUCAAAAAACUAACUCUGCUAAUGUUCUAAUUAUAUGGAGGGACAUACUAGAUGCUUAAAUCUCAAAAUGAGUACCAUUAACUUCAACAAUACCAUUCAUAUGGGUAAAGCAGAGUAUAUGUUUAAAGUGAACUGUUAGUAGAAGUAAAUUCUCUGCCCAAUAGUAUGUAACAUUCCUCUUAAACAAAGAAGCUUUGUUAUGUGGUCAACACAUAUCAUGCAGCUUUGUCACAGGGCUCACAGAACACACAAUUCAGUAAUACUAAAAACACCUUUUGAUUUCCAGUAUGUUUCUACAAUAACUUGCUUGCAUGACCACUACAAUCUCGAUAGAGGAUAUUGUGACCAUUGCUAGUUUCAGAGCACACACUAUCUUUGCCAUUUAGCUUUAUGUCAAGUACUUGAGUUCAUAAGGACUCUUUAUCAAGGGCAUAGAGUUCCAAUGUAGCACUCAUUAUGGUCAGUGGAUGUAUUUCUAUUUUCUUUGUUAGUAGAGUGGUUGAGAUUAAUUUUAACCUUGUCAUUGGUUGAAAUCUGGUCCAAGUGUUCAGCAAAGAAGAGUGACCAUAUUGGGUGUAGUUGGUUUGGCCACACUAAGAACAGCUGUUGGUGCCAAAAAAAGCAUUAGGACAAGUGGUUCCCCAUGGCAGCAUCAGGAAACUGGCACAGAGUGAUGCUGCUGCCAGCAUCCCAGGGAAGCUCAGGCACCCAGCAGCUCACACAUUAUCUGCUUCCUACAGGAAUAUCACAAAGCAUCAUUAUAAGCUUACUAAAGCAAAUAGUGUAACCACUACCUUGUGUUUACCUUUGGUGAACUUGUUAUCAUUUAAGAAAACUGCAAUGUAAACAUAUAAAAUGCUAUGUAAUGUGAGCUGCAGGUAGUGCUUUGAGUAUGGAAAAAAAAUAGGACUGCAUAAAGUCUAUUUUCUGGCAUCAACAUUUACAAAUAUUAACUAAAAAUUUACACAUCACAAUUUUUAAUGUGGUCAGGACAAAUAACAAUAUAAAGUUUAUUAUUUGAUUACUUGCCCAGAUCUAAAGUUAUAUGUAUUUGAGGGAACUCCAGCUGCAUGCUUCAUGUAAUUCUACUUGCAUACUUCAUGUAUACUGAAGCCAAAAAGGACAAUUAAAUAGUCUUACCCUCACCUCUUGUAUAACACAAGACACCAGACUUACUAUCUUGGUAUGUUUCAUAUAUUCUGUUUAUUUAAAGAAAUAUACAAGAAUACCAUAAGUAAGCCAUGCAAUUUGGGCACUUACAAAAUACUAAGACACAAAAUACACUUAUAGAUGGAGAGUAAAUCACUGUAGUCUUGAGCUUGGAAUAUCUACAUGUGGCCCGUGACUGGGAUAAAUUUUGUCUUAGUCAUAUCAUUGUAUUCUUAUGCACUACAGCAUCUGUUAUACCAUCCAAAACAUCUUGUACUUGCUCCGUCAAAGGCAAAACCUGUGAUUAAAUGGUUUGCUGGCACUUUCUCCAUUCUGAACCUUUCUCCUUUCUUUUGAUUUUAUUUUCUGCUCAGCUUCCAGUUCUAAAAGCGAUAUAUGCAAUACACUGCAGUGAAAAUACUGUUAAAAUCAAGGUCACUGAGACUGAUCCCAGAGACUACCAUUGGUCUUCAUAUCAGUCUCCUUGUUAACAAUAUACUGAACUGACAUUUUCCUGGAUUUAUACACCUUAUCUUCACAGUGCAGCAGCUAGAAAACUAAUACGUGCUAAAAUAAAUGGGGAUGCCAAGUAUAAUACUCCUCCAGGGAAUGGGAACUGCAGUGAACCUUCUUUCCAAUGGACACAAUGGUUUUGUUUUCCUCUAAAAAAUAAGCUUGUCUAAUGUAGAUGUGUAUCAACUGAGAGAUUUUUAAAAAUAUUAGAACUUCCCUAGCAGACUCAUUUACAAGGGACUGUUUCUAUGUAUCUUUUCCUAACAAAAGACUACAGGGAAAUGUUUCACAGUGAAGCAUCAGAACCUGGCACUGUGCUUCAAAAGGAUAAACUCUUGUCAAAAAUGUAAUAACAAAUAAUAAGUUAGAUAAACAAACAACAGCUUCACAAAUGAACAGUGACCUAGAAAUCAGGGUUCUACAUGGCUUAUCAAGUAACAAAACAACAACAACAACAAAAGGGUCACUGCACUAACAUUUGCAUGUAGUUGCACAAUUGUUUCACCAGUAUGAGAUGACUAUUGAGUGGCCUAGAAGUAAUAUAUUGUUGGUUUGGGUAAAUGUCUUAGUGCGUAGCUGUCCAUCCUCACCAAAUGGUCUGUCAGUGCAUGUUGUCAGUUUUGCUACAGAAUACGAAGAGACUGAACUGCAUGGUCUGCUUCUGAUUUUAAAAUGUUGUCAGUGACAAUGAUGAGAAGAUUUUAAACUUCACUGCUGUUAAAUUAGAAAAUUAAUGUGUUUACAGUAGUCUUUUACAAAACCAUUCUAACUCUGUGUUAGCUAAUAGAUAAACUAUGCUGUAUUUCCUAACUACUCUCCAUCUUAAGUUUAGAAAAUACUGAGGUGGCAAUGCUUUGCAUUUUCUUUUUGUAUUUUAAACAAAAAAUGUAAUCUUUAUGACUGUCCUAC
rnacentral:lncRNA from 1 species